UACAGAGGUCUCAAGCGUUGUUCGGAUUCAUUGGGCGUAAAGGGUGUGUAGGUGGCGCCGUAAGUCAGGUGUGAAAUUUCGGAGCUUAACUCCGAAACUGCAUUUGAUACUGCGGUGCUUGAGGACUGGAGAGGAGACUGGAAUUCACGGUGUAGCAGUGAAAUGCGUAGAUAUCGUGAGGAAGACCAGUGGCGAAGGCGGGUCUCUGGACAGUUCCUGACACUGAGGCACGAAGGCCAGGGGAGCAAACAGG
rnacentral:rRNA from 1 species